rnacentral:rRNA from 1 species
GGAUCAGUAGGUUGGUCGUGCCACCGGUACGUACUGGUCUCACUGAUUCCUCCUUCCUGAAGAACCGUAAUGCCAUUAAUUUGGUGUUGCGGGGAAACAGGACUGUUACUUUGAAAAAAUUAGAGUGUUCAAAGCAAGCUAACGCUUGAAUACAUUAGCAUUGAAUAAUGAAAUAGGACGAUCGAUCCUAUUUUGUUGGUUUCUAGGAUUGACGUA